UGAGUACGAGAUGCUACGGCAUCGAAGCAGUCUAUGUCAUACUUCCAAGAAAAGCUUGCAAUGUCAUAAACAAAUAAUGCCUGUACCAUAACCGACACAGGUGGGUAGGUAGAGUAUACUAAGGGGCGCGAGUUAACUCUCUCUAAGGAACUCGGCAAAAUGACUCCGUAACUUCGGGAGAAGGAGUGCCUUAUUUUUAUAAGGUUGCAAUAACAAGAUCCAAGCAACUGUUUACCAAAAACACAGGUCUCCGCUAAGUCGUAAGACGAUGUAUGGGGGCUGACGCCUGCCCAGUGCCAGAAGGUUAAAGAAGUUGGUUAGCAUUAGCGAAGCUGAUAACUGAAGCCCUGGUGAACGGCGGCCGUAACGAUAACGGUCCUAAGGUAGCGAAAUUCCUUGUCGGGUAAGUUCCGACCCGCACGAAAGGCGUAAUGAUUUGGAUACUGUCUCGGAGAGGGGCUCGGUGAAAUAGACUUGUCUGUGAAGAUGCGGACUACCUGCACCUGGACAGAAAGACCCUAUGAAGCUUUACUGUAACUUGAGAUUGAAAUUGGACUUUAUCUGCGCAGUAUAGGUGGGAGACGUUGAAAAUAUUCUUGCGGGAAUAUUGGAGUCAUCAGUGAGAUACCACUCUUAUAAUGUUAGAUUUCUAACUUUGUAUCAUUAUCUGGUCAAAGAACAGUUUCAGGCGGGCAGUUUGACUGGGGCGGUCGCCUCCCAAACGGUAACGGAGGCGCACAAAGGUUUCCUCUGAACGUGUAGAAAUCGUAUCUAGAGUGUAAAGGCAUAAGGAAGCUUGACUGUGAGACCUACAAGUCGAGCAGGGACGAAAGUCGGUCUUAGCGAUCUGACGGUGCUGAGUGGAAAGGCCGUCACUCAACGGAUAAAAGUUACUCUAGGAUAACAGGCUGAUCUCCCCCAAGAGUUCACAUCGACGGGGAGGUUUGGCACCUCGAUGUCGGCUCAUCGCAUCCUGGGGCGGUAGUACGUCCCAAGGGUUGGGCUGUUCGCCCAUGAAAGCGGUACGCGAGCUGGGUUCAGAACGUCGUGAGACAGUUCGGUCCAUAUCCGGUGUAGGCGUUAGAAUAUUGAGAGGAGCCUUCUUUAGUACGAGAGGACCGAGAAGGACAUACCUCUGGUGUACCAGUUAUCGUGCCAACGGUAAACGCUGGGUAGCCAUGUAUGGAGAGGAUAACCGCUGAAAGCAUCUAAGUGGGAAGCCCACCUCAAGAUAAG
rnacentral:rRNA from 1 species